UAGUCUGUUGAUUUUUAUAAUAGGUGUUUUCUGCCCAGUGUUAAAAUAAAUGGCCGCGGUAUUUUGACCGUGCAAAGGUAGCAUAAUCAUUUGUCCUUUAAUUGGGGGCUGGUAUGAAAGAAAGUUUGGGGCCUGAUCUGUCUCUUUUUUAUGUUAGAAUUUGUUGUUCUUGUGAAGAAACAGGGGUUUUUGAAAAAGACAAGAAGACCCUUUUAAGCUUUAUUUUUUUUCUGUCUCUCUUCUUCUUUUAAGUAUUUUAGUGAGGUGGGAGGAAUUUGGUUGGGGUGACUGAAGUAGAUUUUAAUCUACUUUAGUUGUAUAAAACUUUAAGUUUAAUAAUGACCCAGAGUUAUUUUGGUUGAAAGAAUUAGUUACUAAAGGGAUAACAGCGUAAUCUUUUCAGAGAGUUCAUAUUGAAGAAGGGGAUUGCGACCUCGAUGUUGACUUAUUAUAUCCUUUUAGGGCGCAGGUGCUAGUAGGGUUGGUCUGUUCGACCAUUAAAAUAGU
rnacentral:rRNA from 1 species